AAACUUCUUACUGCCUUCUGCCCUGCUGAUUCUUAUCUUCGUAAACAAGUCCGAACUGGAACACGAACAGUGAUGACUGCAGUACAAAGCUGACUGCUUUCAACAACUAAAUCAUAAUAUUUUUUUUUAUCUGUGCAGGUAGGGAUGUUUUACAGGCUCUAAACCAUCAUUUUAAAUGAAAUAUGCAGAAUUAAUCUCAUCAGCUCUUUCUGAUCAUCUGCUGCUCAGAUGUUUUUGGAACCCUGAGACACUCAUAACCAAGAAGUGCAGUUGAUGAAGUUUUAUGACAUAAUCCAAUUCUGACUCAGUAUAAACAAACCAUUCAUGAUGAUUUCCAGCCUGGGAAGAUUCAAAACCAUGUCCUGUAAAGACAUCUCUCUGCUCUGCUCUAUGUGCUCUCUUGAUAUUAUGUGACAGUGUGUGAUCAUAGAGCUGCUAUAAAGUAAACAAUAAACCAACAUUACAGCUGACUGUUCACAUAUUUUGCGAGAUUCACAGGAUUUGUUGGGGAUCAGGACUAACACAGGAGUGCAGCUGGUUUUGUUCUAAUAAUCUUUAUUAAGGUACAAAACUGAAGAUCUGAGAACCUCUUAUGCAUGUUUGAAAGGCAGAUGUGAACAUUGUCAUGGUGUUACACUGCACAUUCACUUCAUCUACUACAAUAAUUUAAUGUACUGAAAAUGAUUUUACUCUGUCCACCCUAAAUAUUUAUAACCUAAAUCCCCACUGUUCUACUCUACACACAGAGCUGUGAUUGUAAUAAACUGGGAACGAGAGACUCAGAGCUCAGCAUUAAAAAACACCACCACAUACAAGUGUUACUCAUAUCAAAAGACAGCUUUUGAUUUCAGAAGUAAUAAAUGUGUCGACUCUUAACUUGAUCAAAUAUUAAAGACACACACACUUUUUUUUAACUGAGCAUCAAUAGAAAGAAUAAAAAAAACAUAAGGGACAUAUAACGAAAUCAGUCACAUUACACCAACACAGGAGAGGCAUAUGCAGUUCUCCCCUCAUGCAACAUGCAGUAAUGAUUAUGCAGUAUUUCUAAGAAGUAAGAACUUAUAGAUCUUCGUGUAUGUAUAUAAUUAUAUAUGUUAUAAUUAACAAAUGGUUUAAUAUUGGUGAACAUUAAACCCCCACACCCUCAAUCACACCCCCUCAAACACACACACACACACACACACACACACACACACACACACACACACACACACACACACACACACACACAAAUGUGGUAACAGUAAGAACAAAGGUAACCAGUGACUUGUGAAUUUAAUGUAGUAGUUUAUUGUCUUAUUUGUACAGUUUUCUUUCACUUCAAUUAAAAAUCUUGAUCAGAAACUAUUUACAGAACAAAAAAAAAACCAAAACAAAAAGUAAAAAAUAAAUAAAAAACCGCUAUGUACGAAACCUCCCACCUGUUUGAAAUCCACUUGUCUUCUUCCAACAUAAACCACUUUACAUCUGAAAGAAAACACGCCUUAUGAAUGCACUAUUUUCACAUUUCCUCACCACACUGACAAAUUAUUUACAG